rnacentral:lncRNA from 1 species
AUCAUAUUGGAAUUGCAUGUUUAUUAUUCACUGUUCUUUGGUCUAUAAGCCAAAUGAUAUAUAAAGUGAAUGUGAAUUGCAUGUGAUCUGUUCAUAUAGUAAAUGGAGAAGGCAGCUAGGAAGGUUCCUUCUUUAGCAAUUACCAUCUUUACAAGGCCUUGAAAAGCAGAAACCAUUUCACCACCCAUGCAAUCUUCUCUUCUGUGUCUCUUUUUCUUCCCUUUGGGUCUCCUAAUUUCCUAUAGAGAAAUGGACAAGAUGUCUCUAUGUCCCAGAGAAGAGCACUAGCAAGUUGGACAGAAAAGGGGCGUCUUUUGCCACCUGCAUGAAGCAUCAACAAACGCAAGAUUUUUCCCCUUCUUUGCAAAGCUUUCAAGCUAACCAUCCUGUCAUAGCUUACAUGGCAAUUUAAGGUUUUAUUUUUUUAAUAAAAUUAUUGACACCUCAGAUGGUACGCUUAGAUAUCUAAUAAUUUGCCAUAUUCUUCAGCUGUGGCAAUCAAAUAUUCACCCAUGGCAAAUUUGAUAGAGAAUAACCAUCUUGCAUCUCUUGUAUCUGAGAGAACCUAGUAAGUAGUAACCUAUAUAUCAGUUUCAGGAGUAACUAAGAUCGUGGAGACCUGGCAGCUUGGCUUGAACUCAAGUUCAGUCUUCUACAGCUUGAGGAAGUGUGCGAGCAAGUAUACAAGACAUGAGACCCACUCAUUUGUCAAAAUCUGAGAAAUUUGAUGUGCCGGUGAAAAAGAAGUUUUAUAAUGUCUUACAGAAUCUAGCACUUAAGACAUGCCCAGGCAUGAGAGAGGUUUCCAAUACUUAAGAAAAUUUUAAAAAAAAAAUACUAAGAACAGUCACCUGAUAGUGAAAAAUGCCUCCAACACUCUCUAUCCUAUUGGUAGAGUAGAGAGUAUAGGGCAGAGAGUAUUUAUUAUUUUGUAUUUUUUUUAAUUAAUUAUUAAUUAUUAUUCUUUUCAAUUAAUAUUAGAUAAUCACAAUAGUGACAUUUAUUCAUGAGCACAUCUGCAUAGGAAAUUCACAAACUAAACAUCUCAGAACAUGUGGC